UUAACUAACCUAUUUCACCAGAUAAACAUAUGUCUCGUCUGUUUUAGCACAUCAAAUAGCUCUUCGUACCGCUUUUAUUUAUACCAACAGAUGACCUAUCUGUUGCAGCAGAUGAUUCAUAUGUUGCAACGGAUGGUUCAUCCGUUUGAAAUUAUCAUACAGGGUCUUUCUUAUGUAGAAAUUUAUCCCAACAGUUGAUUUACUGUUGUAACAAAAAUAUAAUUUGUUUAGGACAAUAUAAAAUGGGAGGAAGACCUGUUUGAUUUGCUAGAAGAGAUGAGUUAUCCUUUUUAAUUUUGUUGUAUCUCCGUGAUUAGCAUUGUCCAAUUCUGGCUUUUCAGGUGGAUAUAGAAGAAGCUACUGAUGAACAGCAUUGAAAUAUGCUACUCUUUUUAUGGAAAUACAGAGAACAGAAAGCACAAAAACCAUACGUAAGCGACAAUAAAGAUCCACGACGAGUAAAGCUGAAUUUCAUAGCACCGGAUGAAGAACAACUUGUCCAUACUAUGUAGAUCUUUAUAGCUUGAGCCUGUCAAAGAAAUCCUUGACAGUAUACUUAAACUGUUGUUGAUGUAUUUGUUGAGAUAUGUACCCAUAAUAAUUUUUUUAUAUUUCAUUUAUUUGUUGACUUAUUUCAGCUAAUUUAUGAAGGCUUCGAUUUAUUUUAUUUUAUCUAUGAAUUUUAUUUAUUCCUUAGAUUUGAACUUAUUAAUUGAAAAGAAAUACUAGAUUCAAAUAUUGCAACAGAUAAUGUAUAUAUUGCAAUAGAUGACACAUCUAUUGUAAAAAUCGAACAGAUUUAGACAUAUGUUGCAAUAGGUAGGUGAUCUGUUGGAAUUUAUCAAACAGGUCUUCCCACUAUUGCAACAGAUGGACUUAGAUAAAAACAUCGAGAUAAUGCAACAGAUGACCAACCUAUUGCAACAGAUAAACUAUAUGUCAGAAUAGGUAGAAUAACUGUUACAACGGAUGUAGAAUCUGUUGCAUUAUAAAAAUUCAACUUUCGUUGGAUAUAAAAAAUUGCCACUACGUGUAAAAAGGUUAAAGUGAAUUGAAUUGAAAUAAAAAAGGCACAACCCAUCGAUGAUGUUCAGUUCAAACACCUAAAAUAAAAUAAGCAUCAAGUAGACAGUGUUCAUUUUAAACACGUAAAAUAAAAUAGGCAUCAAAUGAGUCAAUUUGGCAUAUUUUGCUGACUUGCCGUCACUUGGCCCCCAACGGUCAUUUUUUUCCCCAAUUGUCUUAUAUAUUCAUCUUCCUCCUAUAAUUUAACCCUAAAUUCUCAAAUCUUCUUUUUCAUCAUCAUCUUCUUGUACCUAUCCAAAUUCUUCAAAUUAUUUCUUUCAUUUUUUCCAAUUGAGCUUGACAAUGUCGAGCGCAUCUUCCACUAUUUUUUGUGAUAAAGAUUUUUGAUAUUGUAAGUGCGGUCAUGAAGCUCUGUUAAAGACUUCUUGGACUCAACAAAAUACGGAUCGUAGGUUUUUUACUUGUAAGAUUUCAAAGGUAAUAUUUUUUUAUUUAAUUAGUUGAUUAAUUAUUGACUUGUAAUUGUUUUAUAAUUUAUUUUCUUUUCUUUUUUACAGAAAUUGGGUGGAUGCGAUUACUUUGAUUGGCAUGAAGAACGAUAUCCUUCACAAUCAAAUCGUGUCGUUAUUGCUACUGGUUUGGUGUUGUUAGGAACAUGGAUAUUCAAGCCUAAUUGCUGAAAUUUUCAUGGUGGUGUGUGUAUUUGCUACUGGUUUGGUAUUGUCGAGCACAUGAAUAUUCAAGCAUAACUAUUGAAAAAUAUCAAAAAGAUUUCGGCAUAUGUUGUAAAAUUUAGGUCAUCUAUUGAAAAUUAUCAAAUAGGUCUUCCCACUAUUGCAACAGAUUAAACUUAUAUUAUUAGAUUAUUCAUAGAAAUAAUAUCGGUGUAAUGCAAUAGAUGACCAACCUAUUGCAACAGAUAAACUAUCUGCCAGAACGGAUUAAAUAUAUUUUAUGACAAAUUGACAAUCUAAUCUAUUGCAUUAUAAAAAACUCAACUUUCAUCAGAAAAAAAUUAUUGCCACUACAUGUACAAGUAAUAAAGUGAAGGGUGACUAGAAAUUAAAAAUUUCUAUUUCACAGGCUCUUCUAUAUACACAGGCUUCAAGCACCCAGUUAGUACCCCAUAAACCCAGACCUCCUGCAGGUUAGCCACAACGUUGUCACACAGAAAAGUCGUUGGCUCAACCAUUUUUGUGUUGGUCAGCAAACAGUCGAUGUGUGCAAGAGCGUGCGAGUCGCUCGCUUUAGCGGCAUCAUCUUUUGAAAGGAUCAUUCCCUUGUUUCAACCUUUAAAAUCCCAUGAUUUCUUUAUCAACACUUCCUUUGGCAAAUGAUUCAUCAGUUUACUCUCCCUCAACAAGAUGGGCAACGGCACCAUCAGUGGCUUUACGAUGAGAAAAAGAUCAAAAUCAUCGACGAGAGAUACAUUGGAGUCAUAAACAUUGAUCUUUACCUCCUCGAGUAGUAUCUCAACAGCCCGAUAAUACAUGUUGUUCACGCUAAUGACUGCAAGAAUCCUUUUUGCCUCGGUCCAGCUCUUUCCGUGUGGAUUUGGCCUGUCCCCUCUAACAUAUUUUAUCAUUUCUUCUUCAUCCAAGACCAACGUAGGAACUAGGAAAUAAAGUCACAUGCCAAGGGCUAACGCCUCCCCAUUGAGUUGAUUGUACCUAUCCUUGAACUUCUUGAAGAAGUCGAGGUCCAUUAUCCUAUUGGCCGCGUCAUAAGCUUCCCGGUACAUUAAUUGCCUUUUCCUCAUGAGGCAGAGAAUUAUGUCAACAUGCUGUGAGAUAAGAAGUCAAUUUUUAAAUAGGUUAGUAAUAGUAAAGAUGCAACGGAUGGUCCAUCUGUUGCAUAGGGUCCAUCCAACACAACUUAUACAACAAAUGGAUAAUAAGUUGGAACAGAACUACUACCAGUUGCACUAGUAUACCCAGCUGUUGUAACAAAUGUGAAAUCUAUUGUGAAGUUUCUUCUUCAUGGGGUAGAUUAGAAGGGCUAGGUUAGGAAAAGUAAAUUUUCCUUAUCCUCGUAUGGCAUACGCAUAUUAGUUUGGAAGUCUUGGGGGGAAAAGGAGGCCUGAGGUAAUCUGGUGCACCUGGCUUGGCAUUCUUGGCCUGUCGCAGAUCCUUCUUCUCUUCGGCUCCAAGUUCUGCAUAUAUGUCCACCUUCUUAACUGGCCCCUAAACUUCAACAACUUUUGGAGAGAUAGGAAUUGCAAUUUCUUUUGAUUUCCGACCGGUGAGUAUGUCUCUUAUUGCUCUUUUCUUUCUCCCAACCAACACUGUAGGAGUGUGAAGCUCCCUCACCUUCUUGGAUGGUAUGACACACUUCUUGGAUUUGAAUUCCUUAAUAGCUUUAGAGAUAGCCUCUACUUUUUCAAAGAGUUUAUCUUGUCUGUCCUUGCACUCUUCGCAUUCACAAUGACACAAAGGUGAAGAGGGGUGAGAGGGACCUGUGUAAGGGCGAAAAGAGGUGUUUUCAAAAAUAUUUAUUCUUUCUUAAGCAUCAACAUGUGCAUCAUCACAAGUGGUAGCAGCAUCUGUAUGCCUGCCACCAAAACCAAUAACUCCACCAGAAGAAGCACCCGGAUCCGCCUUAGUAAAAGGUUGGUCAUGAAGAGCCUCAACAUUAGGCUGACCUUACCUAACUGCUCUUCUAAUGGUUGUUACUCUAGCAAAUUUCUUCUUUAUUAACUCCACCAUUGGGUUUGCUAUAGUAUCAACAUGACCUAGAGUAAUAUAAGAAGUCAUCACCGACUCCUCCUUAGUAGGCACGAUCCAUGGAUGCACAACCUAUAAAAAGAAAAAAAAGAUAAAUGCAUUUAAAUCAUAUAAUAUAAUAAUUUUCACAGUUGGGCUACAUUUAAAAAAAACCAUCUGUUGCAUAGUUUGCAGUAUAUGGUUAAAAUUUGUUUGUAUCUGGUUCAAAGAAAUAGAGCAACACAUGGAUAAUCUAUUGCAAUAGUUGCACAAAACGGGUAAUCAGUUAUACAACAGAUGAUCUGUACGUCACAACAGAUGAACAAUAUGUUAUAAGAUUACACAUCUGUUGCAUAAUUUGCAGUAGAUGGUUAAUCUUUUAGGAGUCGAGUUCAGAGAACCAAAGUAAUAGAUGGGUAAUCUGAUGCAAGAUAUACCCUGUCAUAAUAGAUGUCCCAUCUGGUGCAUCAGAUAUAACAUCUGUUGCACCAGAUAUAAUAUCUGUUCAAUAUCUUUUUUAUCUUUGAGUAGAAUUAUUUUACUUGAAGAAGACGUACUGCAUCAUCCGGAGGGUUAAAGAGAUCAUCCUCUUUAAUAUUGGUGUUUCUCUUUGCAGCCAACCACCUAAACAUCCUUGGAUGAGAAAACUCAUUCGGGUAAUCCAUUAACUGCUUUCGGAGGGGAGGAAUGACUUCAAAUACCCAAGCCUAAAAAAUGUAAACAGGAAGCAAGCAAAAAAAAAGUCAUAAUAACUAUAUUCAAUAUAAAUUAAUGGAUGAGUAAAAUUAGUGAUUAAUUUUACCAUGAAAGCCCAACAAAAGCCGUAUAAUGUGGUCGUCCCGGAGGAUAGCUUUGUCAGUAAAUAUUGGACAAUCAAGUAGAAGUUGUAAUAUCCCCAGGGAUAAUUGUUGAAUUUAUCAAAAUCCUCAGCACGCGCCAACAAAUCAUCUUCUAUAACCUUGUUGAUGUCUCUUGCCAAUAUAACCAAAUCGACAAACCAAAAUAAGCAUAAUUGCUCCUUGUAUUGCUCUGGUAUGGUUUUUCCUUGAGAUCUGUCAACAAAUCCAAUGCUUUGUAGCCACGUCGAGCAAUAUUAAACAACCUAUGUAUUUUUUCCUUGCAUUUUAUUGCCUUGAAUCUUUUGCGGGGUAGUGGUCCUUCUGGACGAUAGCAUCUCAAGGUCGUCACUAUGGCAAAUUCUUGCAAGCCAAAACAAACGGGAAUGCCACAGUAGUUGAUCCAGAUUUCAUCCAUAUUCUUUUUGCCCCCUCCUCCGAAUCUUUAUCAUCCCCCACGUACUUGAUCCUGCGCUUGAGAAGACCAUAUACCAUCGUCAUAGGGAAAUGGAUACGGGCAGAGGGGUCCUCAGGCAGCUCGAGAAACGUCCAAAGAAGCUCUUCUUAAAAAGUCCGCCUAUGUUUUCGUGCUUCAUAAUUUUCAUAAAAUGUUCAAAAAAUUUCCCCAUAUAAUAUUUAAGUACAAUUUGACCAGUUAGUUCUUUUCCUUCUGGGUCAUUUAUCGGCAUAGAAACUUAAAACCUAUUAAUACUAAAAGUUUUGACAGGAUCAUGCUGGGAUGUCGAUAUUAAUUUAGGCCCCAUCGGUGAUCCAUUAUCAUCAUGUUGAUGAUAUUCUCUUUCUCUUUCUCACUCUCCAAUUCCUCCUCUUUCUCACUUUCAUUUUCUUCAUCACCAUCUAUGAUCCCUUAUACACCUCCCUCAAUGUUGUUUUCAUAUCUCUUCUAAGCUUCACUUUUCUCUGAAUGAGAUUGUUCAGGAAGCUCCUCUGAAUCCCUUUGUACUGUAGCCUUUUUUUAGUGGUCAGACAUUGAUUCACUUUUACUUUCUUUUCUUUUGGAGACAUGUUUUACCUACAGACAAAGAAAAACAAAAUUGCAUUACAAUUGAUUUAUGAAUAGAUUUUAAAAAAUACAUUACAAACACCACGAAUACUGAUACACCAACAACCAACACCACAAAUACCAACAACAAAUGCUAACAAACAAAUAAACACCACAAAUACCAACAUCACCAACAGCCACUACAAACACCGCCAACCAAUGCCACCACCAGUGCCACUAUGACGACCGCAAACACCACCACCACCACCAAUAACAACAAUAACAACGCAAACACCAUCCAACAAUACCACGACAGUCAACGGAACACUACGAUGGAAACUAGAGAUUUCUUGAGUUCUUCCUAUGAUUUUACCAUGAAAACUCAAAAUUGUAAAUCUAUUCUCGAAGAUAAUACAACUAAAAGUUUUAUUUUUCAUCAUUAACUUAAAAGCCCUUAUUUUUUAGAAAAAAAUAAACAAAUAUAGAGCUCCUCUCAAACUUUGUUGCCUACGAAGACAAAUAAAACGAUUGAUACAAGCAAGAGCAAAGUAAAAAAUAACACCUAUGUGGUUGAAAAUGAGAAGAAAAGCGAUCUGUUGUGGAGGUUUGAGCAAAUUUGUUGACCUCGAGAUUUGAAAUGAUGAAACAUUUUGUAUGGGUUGAUUUGUAUUUUGGAAAAGAAUGACAAGUAGUUUUGAAAAUAUUAAUUUGGUCUGAAUUGAUCUUAAUUAUUUUUAAAAUCAUAAAAUAUAUGUAUAAUUUUUAACCCUCUCAUUAUGCAAUUGCCAAAAGGGUAAUUCAAUUGAAAUUAUAUAAAAACAAUUGAAGUUGUAGUUGACCGAGUACUCUAGUUGACCCUAUGAAAACUCACCCCUAGUCUUAGAUUAACCAAUUUAGGUACUAUUAGUCUAACAUAUGAACUCAAUUGAAAUUGUAAAAAAUAAAUAUUCAACAUGUUGCAUCAGAUUUCUUAUCUAUUGUAGAUUAUCAAUCAGAUUAGGUAACAGAAUAUGAAUCCGUUGUAAAUUAUCAAACAGAUUAAGUCAUCUAUUACGACAGAUUACUCAUCUAUUGUAAAUUAUCAAAUAGAUUGUAAUAUAUCGCAACAAAUUACUCAUAUGUUGUAAAUUAUCAAAUAGGCACUGCUAUCUGUUGUUGCUGACCCUAGAGAACUCACCCCUAGUCCAAGAUUAAUCGAUAGUUUACCCUAUGAGAACUCACCCGUAGUCCUAGAUUAUUCAAUUAAGGUAUUAGUACCCUAGUCCUAGAUUAAUCAACUAAGGUAUUAGUCUAACAUAUGAGGUAGUAAGAAUCGUUUCGGCUCAAGUGAUCGAUCGACGACUCUGGUCGGGAGAAACACAGUACCGUCUCAUUAUGCAAUUUCCAAAAGACUCAAUUGAAGUUGUAGUUGACCCUAUGAGAACUCACCUCUAGUCCUAGAUUAUUCAAUUAAGGUAUUAGUACCCUAGUCCUAAAUUAAUCAAUUAAGGUAUUAGUCUAACAUAUGAGGUAGUAAGAAUUGAUUCGGCGCAGAGUGAUCGAUCGACGACUUUGGUCGGGAGGAACACGGUACCAUCUCAUCAUGCAAUUAUCAAAAACUAAAUUAAAGUUGUAGCUGACCCUAUAAGAACUAAUAUUCAAUUAAGGUAUUAGUCUAACAUAUGAACUCAAUUGAAUUAUAUAUAAACAAAUGUUCAACCUGUUGCAAUAGAUGUCUUUUUUAUUGGAUUAAAUCAAACAGAUUAUGUAAUCUGUUGUAACAUAUUAUGCAUCUGUUGUAAACUAUCAAGUAGAUUACGUUAUUUAUUGUGACAGAUCACGAAUCUAUUGUAAACUAUCAAACAGUUUAGGUAUCUAUUACGACAGAUUACCCAUCUGUUGUAAAUUAUCAAAUAGAUUAAGUCAAUGUCGUAAUAGAUUACCCAUCUGUUGUAAAUUAUCAAAUAGGUGAUGUCAUCUAUUGUAGUUGACAUUAUGAGAACUCACCCCUAGUCCUAGAUUAAUCAAUUAAGGUGUUAGUUGAACAUAUGAGGUAGUAAGAAUCGGUUCAUCUCAGAGUGAUCGAUCGAUGACUCUUGUCGGGAGGAACGCAGUUCCGUCUCAUCAUGCAAUUGCCAAAAGACUCAAUUAAAGUUGUAGUUGACCCUAUAAGAACUCACCCUAGUCCCAGAUUAUUCAAUUAAGGUAUUAGUUGAACAUACGAGGUAGUAAGAAUUGGUUCAUCUCAGAGUGAUCGAUCGAUGACUCUUGUCGGGAAGAAUGCAGUAUCGUCUCAUCAUGCAAUUGCCAAAAGACUCAAUUGAAGUUGUAAUUGACCCUUUGAACUCAUUCAUCCAUCCAUAGUUCAACCUAGAUCAAUGUAGGUACUAUUAUUAAUCUUAACAUUAAGUUAAUGAGAACUCAUUUCAACUCAGAGUGAUUGAUCGACGACUCAGGUCAGAAUGAACGCAAUACUAACACCAUGCAAAUACAAUGACUCAAUUGGAUUUGUAGUUGACCCUGUGAGCUUAUUCAUUCAUCCCUCAUUCUACCUAGAUCGAUAUAGGUACUAUUAUUAAUCUUAACAUUAAGUUAAUGAGGAGCUCAUUCUUUCAUCCCUAGUUCCACCUAAAUCAAUUGCAAUAAAAUCUGUUGCAAUAAACGACUGAGUUAUUGUAGAAUUUCAAAUAGAUAACAAUAUCUGUUGCAACAGAUGACAUAUCUGAUUUAAUUAUCAAAUAGAUAUUUACAUCUGAUAUGACGGAUGACUGAGUUGUUGGAAAUUUUUAAACAGAUAUUGAUAUCUGUUAUAACAGAUGACAUUUCUGAUUUAGUUAUCAAAUGGACAUUUUCAUCUGUUGUCACAGAUGACUGAGCUAUUGGGAUUUUUCAAACAGAUAUUUAAAUUUGUUGCAACAGACGACAUAUCUGUUUGAAAUUUUUUUUUCUUUUAAUUUUAAAGCAAGCUACUGUCUAAGUAGAUAAAGUAGUAGUACUACUAAAGGCGGUAAAAAAUAUUUCUUGGAUAACUCAAAAAUCUCAUUGAGUAGUCUUGUCCUGUCUUUUCAAUGUCAUCCGUUUUCUUCCUCGUGCCCCUAAAAUUAUUUAUGAAUAUUAAUUAAUGAAUAUUGAAACCCCUAAUACUUCUUCCAUUUCAUAUUGACUUGGCACACCCAUUAAGAAAAUAUUAAUUAGGGGUUUAUUUUACUACCAAAUUAACCUUAUUAAUUAUGCUUUGAAAAUAUAAAUUUGAAUAAAUACACUUUUUUUAGUCAUUUAAUAUUAAGGGUAGUACGUUUAGAAAUUAGGAUUAUCUCAUCUCUCCUCUCCUCUCCUUCAGCCCUAAAUUUAUUUUAUUCGUCUCUCAUAUUUUCUCUUUCUAUCCUCUUUAGAGUUAUCACAGCCUUUUUUUCUCUUCUUUUUCUCAUAAAUUUUUGUUCGGAUCUAAACCGAUCUAUAUCCAUAUCUUAGAUUUCUCGACUGAAAUUGUUGUUUUAACCCCCUUUUGACAUUAACCCCCUUUUGACAUUAAGGUAUGAUAUGAUUCACUAUUGCUCUUUCAUUCUCGUCUUCUUCUUGCAAGUUAUUUACAUAUUUUUUUAUUUAAUUAUUAUUUUCACAUAUCAUAUUUAUUUAAAAAAUUUGAAGAAACUUUUAAUUGUUGAAUAAACGAAUCGAGAAUUUUUAUUACAAGAUGAGAAAAAAAGUCAUCUGUUGGGAGAAGUGUAUUUUUUUAUGUAUUUUGUUUGUUUCUUUGUUAUUGAUGUUGUUAUUGAUGUUGUUGGUGGGGUUGGCGUUGUUGGAAUUUGUGGUGUGGUGUUGUUGACAGUGGCGGAUUCAAGUUUUUUUAGACGGUAGGUGCUUCUUAGCUUAAAAAUAGUGGAGUCCAAACAAUCAACACAAGGAGUAAGGGAGAAAAAAAUAAAAGAAAGUUUAAAGUGAAUAAAGAGAGAAGAGUUGGUUACCAAAAUUAAAAAAACAUAUGUACUGAGUGGGAAUUGAACGCAAGACCAAAAGAAAUAAAUAGACUUAAGCACCCAUAAACAACAACUAGGAUAACCAAACAACUCUUACUAUGGGUGCUCACUAAUUAGAUUAUAUACGUUUUUUCUAAAUUUCCAUAUACAUAUAUAAAGUUCAAUACAAGUUUAGUCUGUGCUUGCGCACUCGGAGGACUCCAUAUGGGUCCGUCCCUAGUUGUUGAUGGCGUUGGAACAUAGGAUGUAUGUUUCUUUAUUGUUGAUGAUGAUGUUGGAACAAAUAUUGUUGUUUUCUUUGUUCUUGAUGUUUUUUAUUUGUUAUUUGUAGUUUAUGUUGUUGCUGAUGUUGCAACAGAUAGAGCAACUGUUGGAACAAAUCAAACCACCAGCAAUGCUGCUAUGUAUUCCAAUAUACUCCAUAUCUGUUGCAUCAGACUCCACAUCUGACACAACAGACUCUACAUCUGACGCAACAGACUCCUCAUCUGAUGCAAUAGACUCUACAUCUGUUGCAACAGAAGGAUAAUUUUCUUUUUGUGAUAUAAAUUUUUCCUUCUUCUUUUUAGAUAUAAAAGAAACUAGAAGUUGAUCAACUUUUUCUUGAUCAUUAAAAGAGGCUGCAGUAAAAAUAGGUUCGGAGGAAUAAGCUGCAUGCAGAUGGAACCACUUCAUAUGUGGGAGGUAUGUAUUACUGAUAAUGUUAUCAUCGAAACACACGUAGAGUACACUGAUUUUGUGAAUGAUGUUUUUACCGAUUAGUCAUAGAUCAUUCAAAUAAGAUAUUUACAAUUUUACAAUUAAGUUUGGUAGGUCCGAACUGAUAAGGCUGGGGAACCAUGAAUAUAGUUCUGAUACUUUGUUAAGAUUUAAUGUCAGAUGUUGCUCAUGUUUAUUUUUCAUGCCUUCUGUAGACUUCCACUGUGGCAAGCAUUUCUGGCGACGGUGUAAAAUUUUACAUGAUGGAUAUGUUGUCCUCUAUAUGGUAGAAGAAUGAUCAAUCUUUCCCCUCCUUGCUUAUCUUGUGCAUGAAAAUGUGAAGAGUGAAAGGCAAAACAUGAUGGUGUGAUUAAUACUGCUAAUGCAUUAACUGCUGACGUAAAGGAAUUAAUAUCUAACAGUAGUGUCAUUCGAUCAAAUAGGAUUUCAGUUUCAUUCACUCCAUUAGAGAUUAAGGCUAAGAGGAGAAAGAAAACAAUUUUCAAGGUAUUAUCAAGUAUCCGAAAAAAAAGUUCGAAUCUGAUAAAGGUGAGAAGAUAAAAAAGGGUGGGGAAUAGAAAGGAAAAACUGAAUGCUAGAUUUAGUUCAUCUUGUUUCGUUAUGUAGAGAUACUCCAUCUAAUUUUGAGUGCUUUUUCUUUUCAGGAUGGUGAGGAAGGUAGAAUCUCUCCAGUAUUAGCUAAUAUCGGAAACAAGACAUCUGAUAUUAUUGAACCACCAGAUUGCUUUGUGAAGUUUGAUAAUCUAGAAGAUGUCUUUGCUCGAGUUAGUCAAUAGAUUAAACGAUCUCAAUCACUUGGUUUUUCUGCUGAUCAAUCUUCUUUGUAGAAGACAAUAUAUCAACAAAACUGCUUCACACGGAGAAAACUGAUAUCGAUAGAUUACUGAUUAUGUCUUCUUAAGACUUGCUUCUACAAAAAAACUGUUCUGCAUUGAGUGUUGAACUAUCCAUAUAUGCUGUAACACAAGAUUUAUCAGUCGAAAGAGCAUUUUUCUUGGAAAAACUCAAAGAGAACCUUCCAUACUUCUCCUUGACCUUGCGUAGAGCUAAGAAGGACCAAGAAGAGUAUUAUAAGAAAGUUGCUAAGAAAGAGAGUGGUCCUCGUUGACAAACUCACAAAAGAUCAAGAGCUCUAUACUGAGCUUAACGACCACAAUGACAAAAUGAUUGAAUUGGAAAUGGUGGUGACUUGACUUAGUCAAACAAAAAGCCAUGAAUGUUCAUAUCCCUUAAUUAAAUAAAACUGGUGACUUUUCGAAUAUGUAAAUUAAAAUAAACCGGAUCUAAAUACAAUAUUUUAUCUUUUUAUUGUAUUUCAGAAAGAGACAGAUUAGUAAUCUGUUGCAAAAUAUCUUCCAUCUGUCAGAUAACUUACAAUACAAUAUAUGGACAAUCUGUUGCAAUAGAUGGAUCUAUCAGUUUGCUUUACAAUCAGUUGUCGCGUCUGUUGCACUUGCUAGUCAUCUGUUUGUUUAAUUUCAUCGAGAGCAAUAGAUUUUUCUAAACACUUCUUGGCCAAACUCAAUUUUUGCUCUUGGAUUGCUUCUCUUUUUUUCUUUGCAUCCUUCAAGCUGACCUCCAAAUUCAAUUUUUACCAUCAAUUCAAUAGCAAUAAAUUAAUUUGGUUGAAGGUUGCAAAAACAAAAAAAGAAUCAAUCCAAGGCAAAAAUUGAGUUUGGCCAAGAAGUGUGUAGAAAAAUCAAUUGCUCUCGAUGAAAUUGAAUAAACAGAUGACUAGCAAGUGCAACAGACGCCACAGCUGAUGGAAAAGCAAACUGAUAUAUCCAUCUGUUGCAACAGAUUGUCUAUAUGUUGUAUUAUAAGUUAUCUGACAGGUGAAAUAUAUUUUGCAACAGAUUACCAAUCUGUCUCUUUCCGAAAUACAAUGAAAAAAAUAAAAUAUUGUAUUUAGAUUCAUUUUUUAAAUUUACUUAUUCAAAAAGUCACCAGUUUUAUUUAAUUAAGGGAUAUGAAUAGUCGUGGCUUUUUGUUUGACUAAGUCCAGUCCCUUCCAAUUCAAUCAUUUUAUAAAUAGGUCCCUCCGGCCUCCUCUCGUUCCUCACUCACUCGUUCAUUCUACUAUACUUACAAUACUAAUAUGGCUGAUCCAGAUUCGUACAAGAAGUUCAUAUCGAGUCCUUGCAGGAACUUCAAAGGAAGUUUAAUGAACUCUAGAGGGAUUUGGCCGACUUCGGAGCAAGACUGAGGAGGGCCUAGUUGCUCUCGAAUAAAAAUUGUCAGGUUGACAAUAAUAAUAGUAAUAAUAAUAGUAAUAAUAAUAAUAAUAAUAAUUAGGUUAUGUUUUUUCUUUCUUUUAGCGUAUGUAUUUUCCUUUUUUGUAUCCGAUCUUCUUAUAAGGGAUUCAAAAAAAUCCAUGUAUAUGUUUGGUUUGGUUUUUGGUCAACUUUGAAUUUUUAAUUCUUAUUCAAUAUUUUAUUAUCAUUCUAUUUAUUCCCUAUUCUCAACAUGUCGACGGUUGGAGGUAGGGAUUGAGCACUUGUGGUAACAGAUGGUGGUGAAAGUCAUGAUGAGAAAUUCUCCUAAAAAUGGUUCGUUAACAAAAAUAAGGAACUAAAUGAUAUUAUAAUUGUAAAAGAAAGAUUAUUUAAUUUUAAAAAAGUUACAACAUUGGAUUAAUUUAAUUAAGAUAUAUGAUGAUAUGAUUUUUAAGAAAAAGGUUAAUGAAUAGUCAUGACUGUGACUUUUGUCCAAACACAUUUAACAAAUAAAAAUAAAAAAACGUUUCUAAUGCAUCAAAUUCCUCAUCUGUUGCGACUGAUGAAUCAGUUAGAAGAAAUAAAAAAAACUCCUUAAACAGAUGGUCGAUUUAUAGCAACAGAUGGUGUAUCUGUUGAAACAGAUGGGUUAUCUGAUGCAACAGAUGGGUUAUCUGAUGCAACAGAUAUACAAUCUGUUGCCAUAACUCAAUUAAUAAAAAUGGUUAUUAAAGAAAAGAAAUAGAACGGCUAUUGAAAACCAGGUGUAUUCGAUUUUUAAAUUGAGAAAAAGGUUAUUUAAAUUUAAUAAGCUGAAAAGGCAUUACUUGUCACAAUAAUAAUAAACUCACCAGCUUGAUUUAAUUAAGUUAUUUCUUUUCACAGAAAAGAAUAAGGAAAUAAAUGAUAAACACAAUUUAAACCGUAAAAAACUCACCAGAAAUAUUCUUGUUUUUAAAUCUUAUUUAUUAAUUUAUAUAAUUAAAAAGUCAAAAAAUUUGGAUGUCAUGAAGAUAAUUUAUUUUUUAAAAAAUAUAUAUAUACUAUAUGUUGCAACAGAUUUAUUAUCUGAUGCAACAGGUUAACUAUUUUUUUAUAACAGAUGAUAUAUCUGUUGUAACAGAUGAUUUAUUUAAUGCAACAGAUAUGUAAUUUGUUGUCCAACUCAGUGUAAAAAAAAUGGUUGAUGGAAAUAACUAAUUAUUUUAAUAAUUAUAAAGCUGAAAAGCCAUGACUUAUCACAAUAUUGCUUGAUUUAAUUAAGUCAUAACUUUUUACAGUAAUCAAGAAUAUCAUUAAUAAAUGGAGGUGAAUAGUUGUGCCUGUAAAUCUGCUUUAUUAAUUUAUAUAAUUAAAAAGUCAGAAAAUUUGGAUGUCAUGAAGAUAAUUUAUUUUUUAAAAAUAAAAAUAAAAAUAUAUAUAUAUAUUAUAUAUGUUGCAACAGAUAUAUUAUCUGAUGCAACAGGUUAUCUAUUUGUUGAAAAUGAUGAUAUACUUGUUGUAACAGAUGAUUUAUCUAAUGCAACAGAUAUAUUAUCUAUUGUUCAACUCAGUGUAAAAAAAAUAAUUCCUGGAAAGAACUAAUUAUUAUUAAUAAUAAAGCUGAAAAGUCAUGACUUAUCAUAAUAUUGAUUAAUUUAAUUAAGUCAUAACUUUUUACAGUAAUCAAGAAUGUCAUUAAUAAAUGAGAUGAACAGUCACGCCUUUUUAUUUUUGAAUCUAUUUUUUUAAUUUAUAUAAUAAUAAAAAAGUCACCAAAUUUGGAUUAAAAAGAAAGAUAUGAUGAUUAAAUAUAUAUUUUAUGUUGCAACAGAUAUAUUAUCUUAUACAACAGGUUAUCUAUUUGUUGCAACGGAUGAUAUAUCUAUUGUAAUAGAUGAAUUUUCUGAUGCAACAGAUAUAUAAUCUGUUGUCCAACUGAGUGUAAAUAAAAAAUAGUUCCUGAAAAGAACUAAUUAUUUUAAUAAUAAUAAAGUUGAAAAGUCAUGACUUAUCACAAUAUUUUUUAAUUUACUUAAGUCAUAACUUCUUACAGUAAUCAAGAAUGUCAUUAAUAAAUGAGGGUGAACAGUUGUGCCUUUAAAUCUGCUCUAUUAAUUUAUAUAAUUAAAAAGUCAAAAAAUUUGGAUAUCAUGAAGAUAAUUUAUUUUUUAAAAACAAUAUAUAUAUUAUAUGUUGCAACAGAUAUAUUAUCUNNNNNNNNNNNNNNNNNNNNNNNNNNNNNNNNNNNNNNNNNNNNNNNNNNNNNNNNNNNNNNNNNNNNNNNNNNNNNNNNNNNNNNNNNNNNNNNNNNNACUUAUCAUAAUAUUGAUUAAUUUAAUUAAGUCAUAACUUUUUACAGUAAUCAAGAAUGUCAUUAAUAAAUGGAGGUGAACAGUUCCGAUUUUUACCCUAACUCAUUCAAGUUCAAUCCUCUAUAACUAGGUCUCUCCUUACUCAGUCGUUCGUUCUACUACACUAUUUAUUCCUUGCUCUUGUUACACCUUCAACUUUUUCUCUUCAAGGACUUGAUAGCUUUUUCCUGUCUCUGGUAAGCUUUUUUUGUGUGUGUAAAUAUUCAUUGUAUAUUACAUUACAUUCGAAUUCUUUCUUUUCUUUACUUUUGUUUUUACGUGUGUUUUGUCAACUUAUGCAUUUUCUAGAUAUGGUUGUUCCUGUGUGGGAUGUUGCUAUUUUACGAGACGCCAUGCGAGAACUGCAGAAGGAGGUUCAUGACCUGCAUUGGGAGUUGGCCACCGUCAGAGUAGAUGCUGCGAGAGAUCUGCAGGCUGAGGAGGGCGCUGCUGCUGCCCAUUGAAGAUUGGCCAGCUGGCCAUACAAAUAAUAAUGAUGAUAAUAAUGAUGAUAAUAAUAAUUAAGCUUUUUUUUCUUUUAUCUAUGUAUUUUUUUGUUUGUUUUAUAAAAAAUUAUGUUUGAUGCACUUGACUUUUUAUUUCUUAUUUAAUUUUUGUGUUGUCUAUUUCUAUUUCUUAACGAAUGACAUGUCUACAAUUAAGGAAUAAUUUGAUUCCAGUAUCAAUAGCAAGAACAUAUGAGUUAUCUGUUAGGUUUGUGUGUGAUAGGAGCUAUAUUUUAUUGUUCGAAACAUAUUAGUAAUCUAAUAAAAUAAAUUAUUUAUCUGUUGAAACAGAUUAGUAAUCUGGUGCAACAGAAUACCCAUCUAUUUGAUUCAUAUUACGGGCACCUAGAACUCAUAAACAUGAAUCCAACAUGAGUCUACUAUUAUAACAGAACAUUUAUCUGGUGCCGAAGAUAAUGGAUCUAUUUAAACAGAUUGCUCUUGUACGGCAUUCAUGUUCGCGUGCAAGCUAUUGUUGAAAAAACAACACAUUAGCAGUUACCCAGAUUCAACUAAAAAGCAUAAUCUGACUUACCAAAGUCUCCUCUCAUGUAAAUUUCAAAGUUGAAAUUGAUUUACGAACUAAAAUUUGACAUAAAAAUUUGGUCAAAGAGCAGUAAUUGGGGUAACAACAACAACAACAACAAUAAUGGUCAACAAGAAGAAUAUAAAGAUGAUAAUGAAGUUUAAGAAGAUGAUAAUGAAUCAGAAGAUGAUGAAUAAAGUAGUAGCAACAAUAAACAACAAAUAUCGUGAAGAGAGAGAAAAUAACAACAGAUGAGGAGAGAAAAAAAGGCACAUUUUUUUCCCUUCGUUCUUCGUUAUAUAUUAACUAACACUUGAAUCAAAGUGUAAAUUUAAAAACUUGUAGGUUAUUUUGAAAUUUUUUGAACUUUCUUACACCAUAAUUAAGUAAUUGUCACCUCUACUUAAUUAGUAAGACUUAUGUCACCUACACCUCAUUUUAAGUCUCUUUUGUCACCUGUGGCCCAAACCCCCAACAUACCUUAACAAUUGUCAAAGAAAUUUGUUGAGCAUAACUUAAAAUCUAAAACUUAAUUUUUUUGAUUUCUCAAAACAAUUGGCUAGUGCCAAGUAACUUAAUUUUAUUUCUAUAGACAGAUAUUUUUAUGUGAUUUUAUCUAUUAAAUUCAUAAUUAAUUAAUAUAUUUAUUAUAAACAUAUGUACUCUCCAUGCUCAUAAGUGAAAGACUAAACUUAUAUGUUGCACAUUUUUUUCAAGAUACUUGUUUUUUAUGAGGUUUGCUUUUAAAAAUUCUUAUUUCUUAUGGUAAUUUGACACAUUUUCUUACCUAGUGGAUAUAUUUGCUAUUUUUAAAAAAAAAUCUUUACACAAUUAUAAAUUCUUAAUUUUAAUUAAAAAAAUUAAAUUUACAUCAAAUUAUAGAAGAAAUAAUCUUAAUUUAUCAAUAAACGCCGACUUGAUAAAAAUUCACAAUAAAAAUUGAUUUUUUUUAUGAAUUAAAAUUUAUUUAUAUUUAGAAAAAAUUUGACGAACAAUGAUUAAAAAAUAUCGUUUAUUUGACUCUAGUCUUGGAUGUGGUAUAUAAAUAUUAACCUGGUAAAUGUAACAACGGUAAAAGAGUUAAACAAAAAAAUUAUAAAAAGUGAAGAAUAUGAUGAACAUAACGAUCAAUAACAAAAAAAAAAAAUUAAAAUUAUAUAUCAAUAUAGGAGUAUAUAAACGAAAGGUUAAGGAGAUAAAAUUUUAUUUCAAUUCAACUAUUUUUAAAAUUGAAAUUUAAUAUCAGAAUAAAUAUUUACUUACUUGAAUUCAGAAGUGGAUAUAGUAGAAAAAACUGCAAUAUGAUUAUCACUAAUCUACACACAUAUAAGAAAAAUACUAAAACAAAAAAAAAAAGAUGAAAACGCAGUCAAUGAAGCUAAUGAUUAAUAACAAAAGAAGAGAAAGAAGCUUAGAUAACCUAUUAUUGUAGGAGUAUAUAUAAGAGAGAUUAAGAAGAUAGAAUUUCAUUCCAUCUCAAAUUCUUUUAAAUUCAAACUUAAAUAUCAUAUUAAUUUGCUAUCAAAUGAUUUAGUUGUUACUCUGUUACUGUUUCUUAUCCAUACUUUUUAAAAAAAAUAAUAUAUAUUUAUUUUAUAAUUCAUAUUUGAGUGAGAUAAAAUAUUUGAAAUUGCUAUUUAAAUUUUACCUUGAUUAUACACCUAUAAAAGUAAGAAAUUCUUAGAACAUAAGUAAUUCAUUUUUUUAUAAAGAAAAAAAAUAAUUCUGUAAAUUACUUUUAAAUACAAAUAAUCUCUUUUAAUUCAUUGUACUGUAAUUUUCAAAAUUAUCGAUCUCUCGAAUUUUAAUCAACCACAAUCAGUUUUGUUAGGAUGGAUAUAUACACAAACAGUAAAAUUUACAACAUAUAUUUAAAGUACAAUUUAUUAAAUAUUAAAUUCAAGAUAUUUUUAUUAUUUUAUCCACUACACCACACAAUUUAAUAUUUAUAAGAAAUAUUAUAUGGAUUUUUUAAUUACUAUCACUAUUGUUAUUAUUAUAUUAUUAUUAUUAUUAUUACUAUUUAAACUAUUGUUCUUACUAUUGUUGUUGUUAAUAAUAUGUUGUUGCUCCUAAUGCGAAUACUAAUGUUGUUAUUAAUUAUUAUUAUUAUUAUUGCUACUACUACUGCUGUUGCGCUUUCUUUUAAAAAUUAAAAGUACUACAACUUGUGUACUACUAUUACUAUUAUUAUUUGUAUUUGUAUUAAAUUUAUUUUAUCUUAUUUAAUAUUUGAAUAUUUUUAAGAGAUUGAAAGGGAUAAUUUUAAGAAUAAUAAAAGUUCAUUUAGAACUCUUCAAUAUUAGGUUUCUAAUUUUAACUUUAUGGUAUUUUUUUUAAAAUCAUAAUAUUUUUAAAGUUAAAUAUCUAUAAUAUUUUAAUUCAACUUUUUAUUAAAAUAUUAUUAACUCAUUAAUUUAUUAAAAGAGAAUUAAUUUGUUAUUCUUUCUUAUCCUUUUUUUCAAAGAUAAUGUAUAUUUACCUAAUAUUUAUAUAAUUUGAAAUCAAUGAGACUAUUACUAUUAUUUCUAUUGCUACUUCUAAUUUAAAUUUAGAUUUCUAAUCUUUAUCUUAUAAUUAUAAUACAACUAGUGAAGUUAGCCGCGCUUCGCACGAUCAUGAAAUUGUCCGUACCUCAUGUGGUCAUGAAAGAUUUCGUUAAUUUAUGACUUAAUUUUUUUAACAUCUAAUUAAAUUUAACAGUUAAACAUAUUUAAAGUCUUUUUUACAUGAAAACAUUAAGGUGCUUUCAUAUAAAAUGUUUUAAUCUCUUUUGGAUAGUUAAACACAAUAAUUGUUGUGCCUUAACUUUUCAACUGUUACAAUAUUAAUUCAAGAAAGAAGUUAUCAUAGAGAUGGGGGAGAAGGAAGAGUCACGUAUUCAUUAAAUUUAUCUUUUUUGUGACAUUCAAAAUCUUUUUUUAGUUUUCUUUCAUAAGAUAAAAUACACAUAUAUCUUUAAUAUUGAAAAUAGAUCUUGAAUAUUCAGAUUUCUUUAGCAAUAAUAGAAAUUCGAUAAAUAUAUUUUUGUUUAAUAUCAUGAUUUGAGAUUGAAUUUGAUAGUAAUCUCAAUCAAAGCAGUGAAUGAACAACCAAAAAAAAAUCAAAAGAAUUGAGAACUAUCAAUUCAACUUUUGCAAUUUUAAAGGGGAGAAAGAUGGAUUAUGAAGAAAAAGACAAUUAGUAUUACCGCUUCUCAUUAUUUUAAUCCAAUAUUUGCAACUUUAAUAAACCAUACUAUUUUUAUAUUCUAUAACUGUAACUUAUGUUUUUAUUAGUCCAGUUAUCACAACAAUUAUAGUUGUAACCUAAGCUUUCAUUAGCGGAAUUGCCACAAGUCACAACGGUUAAAAUAUUUUUUACUUAAUUAUAUGUGUUAAACUAGUGUAUUUUUUAAUUCAGUUAGUUAGUAGAAUAUUAUAUUAUUAUUAUCUAGUAAAUUGAAGGAAAAUAUUCAAAAAAAAAAGAUCUUUUAGGCGAUAAAGAAAUGCUACCUCACCUUAUUUAUAGAUGUUUAUAAGUAUUUAACUUUAAUUUGUUAAUAUUUUCAUAACUUUCAUUUUAUUUAAAAUCUAAAUCUACAAAAAAUUUAAAAAGAAACCAACAAAAAUCAGAAAAAAUACAAUAUUGGACUCGUUUGUCACAAGUUCAUAAAAUCAAUUGGUAGAAAUAUUUCUUGCCUCUCUCUUUCUUUUACCUUACUUGCCUCUCAUUUUCUUUUAACUUAAAUACAUGAUGAUAGGAAAUUAUUGUUAAGAUGAUUAUUAUUAUUAUGAUUAUAGAAAAUUAUUAUUAAAGAGAUCAAUCUCUUUUAUUUUGCCAAAUAAUACGGUAUUACAUUUUCUGCAUUUCAAAAAUUCAUUGAUAAUGAAGUUGCUAAGGUAAAUGUUGUAGAAAUUAAUAAUUUGAUUUCUCAAAAUAAUUAUUUGAGCUUAUAUGUGAAAGUCUUAGGAGAACAUAUUUCCUCUCUUGAUAAGAAACUCGAUGAAUUAAUUGAUUUGAUAAAAAAAUUGAGUAUUAGUUCAAAAUCUACUGGUAAUGCUUCUUCUUUCAAGACAGGAGAGUUGACAACUAAAAUCGUUAUUCAAAGACCCCCUGAUAUUGAGGGAUUUCAACUUAAAUCACAUUUGCAUGAUUUAGAACAACUUCUUGAUAAAAAGCUUUCUGGUUUAAAUAUUAGACCUAUUGAUUUGUCGAAUGCCUUUGCUGAUAGUUUAGACACCACUCCUGAUAUGAAAAAUCAGACUAAAUCAGAGCUUAAUAAGAUUCGAGGAAUAAUUAGAAAACAAUCUGGUAAGAAUCACAGAUAUGCCAAUUCACCCCGCAUGCGAACUUAUUACUAUCCGCGACCCACUCCUCAAGAUGUUCUGAUAGAGGAAAGGGAUUAUUUGGGAGAUUAUUUGGCUCAAGAUAAAAGAGAUUUAAUCUUUAAUGUUAUAGCUACUACUCAAGGGACUGAUAAUCUAGGAAGAACCCUCCCUGCAAAUUGGGAAGAUGUUGUUUAUACGCUCAUUCUUACAAUUUUAGAAUACUUUAAUAGUAAAUUUACCAACCAGUAUGAAAAUAUUCAUACUCUCUUAAAUGGGCGUAGAUAUAAGACUCUAGGAUAAUUUAGGUGGUAUAAAGACACCUUUCUAAGUAAGGUUAUGAAAUUACCCGAAAAUAGUUAUGAACAUUGGAAGGCCAAGUUUAUAGAUGGACUUCCACCUUUAUUUGCCGAAAGAGUUAGAACAGCUCUUAGAGGCUCCUAUGGUGAAGUUCCUUGGGGAAAUUAUACCUAUGGUCAUUUGAUAGCAGCUUGUACAGAAGAAGGAUUAAACCUGUGUAAUGAGUUAACAUUAACUAGAAAAAUCAAGCUUGAUAAGCUUAGAGAAAAAUCUCAGACACGAGAUUUCUGUACCCAUUUUGGUAGAUCUAAACCAGCUUCCACUUCUAGGAAUAAAAAAAAUAGAUAUUCCAAAAAUGAUCAGCCUUAUAAAAAAAGAGAUCUAGAUACAGGUCUAAAGAAGAACGUGAAACUAGAAAAACCUAUAGGAAAUUUACUAGAUUUACCAAAAAUAGGUCUAAGCGAGAUCUUGCUAAGAUUAAAUGUUAUAGAUGUGGUAAUUUUGGGCAUAUUUCUCCAAAUUGUAAGCUCCAAAAGCCUAAAUCUUUAGGUCUUGCUAAUGAUGUGCAUUAUCAAGUUUAUCAUUUAUUAUACACCUCAGGUUCGGAAUAUGAUUAUAAUACUGAAUCAAAAUCAGAAAAUGAAUUAGAUAAUGAUAAUGUUAAUAAUUGUUUCAAUUGCCAAGGUGAUACCUGCACUUGUGACGAUGUAUUUUAUAAUUUGCAAUCCCAAUUUGAAGAUUUAAAUGUUCAAACCAUUACUUCUAAAAAUGUGUUAGAACUUUUGAAAGAAGUUUCGGAUGAAAAACUACGUGAAAAGGUUAUUAAUUUGUCUACUAGUUCAAAACCUAGUACUUCUAAACAUGUUGAUAGCAAUACCGUUACUCCUAAAAUUGAUGAUAGCAAUAAUUUUAUGCCUUAUUCUUUAGCAGAAGUUAAUAGACGACUUGCUAUGAGUUAUACUCCUGGUAAAGAUACUUCUUUUGAUGAUUUAAAAAUUGAAAUUGAAAACUUGAAAAAGGAGAUUAAAUCUCUUAAACAAAAUCAAAUGAUUUGUGAUCACAGAAUUUUGCAAAUCGAGAAAGAUAUUUCUCACACUAAAAAUUCUAAAGGGAAAGAAAAGAUUUCUGAAGAAAAUGAUAAUAUUGAUGAUAUUCAAAAUUCCCUUGACUUGAAAAAUGAUUAUUUUUUAGAUAUGAUGCAAAUUGUUACUGCCCAUAAAUGAUAUAUUAAAUGUACUAUUUUGAUUAAUAAUCAUUUCUCUGUCACUAAUAUUGCUAUGAUUGACAGUGACGCAGAUGUUAGUUGCAUACAAAAAGGAUUAAUUCCCAUAAGAUAUUUUAAAAAAACUACUCAUAUAGUUAAAUCGACAUCUGGACAUGCUUUUGAUAUAGAGUAUAAAUUCCCUAAUACUCAUAUUUGCUAAAAUAAAGUGUGCAUUCCAUAUUUUUUCUUUUUGGUUAAAAUCAGUUAUACCCUCCAAUUAUACUUGGAACUCCUUUUAUAAAUAUUGUUUAUCCUUAUACUCAUAUUGAUGCAAAAGAAUUUAUUGCUACUUACAAGAAUAAAGAGAUAUCUUAUUCUUUUAUUACAGAUCCGGUAACUAGGGAUAUGAAUGAUUUAAUUGAUAUGAAGCAAAGACAUGUUAAUUUUUUACAGCUUGAAUUACUUAGAAUGAAUAUUUGUGAUACAAUGAAAUCUACUAAGGUAUAGGAAAAAAUUAAAUUAAUUUUCGAGCAAAUGGUUGUUGAUAUUUGUGCUGAUCACCCCAGUGCUUUUUGGAAUCGCAAAAAGCAUAUUGUUACUCUUCCUUAUGAUGAUAAUUUCUGUUAGUAUAAGAUCCCAACAAAAUCGCGACCUUGUCAAAUGAAUUCUGAAUUAGUUGAAUUCUGCAAAAAUGAGAUUGAUAAUCUGUUACAAAAGGGUUUGAUAAAACCUUCAAAAUCUCCUUGGUCAUGUACUGCUUUUUAUGUUAAUAACGCAGCAGAAAAGGAACGUGGUAUUCCCAGGUUGGUAAUAAAUUACAAACCUCUGAAUAAAUAUUUAAAAUGAAUUAGGUAACCUAUUCCAAAUAAAAAAGAUUUAUUAUCCUGGUUAUACGAUGCCAAUAUAUUUUCUAAAUUUGAUUUAAAAUCUGAAUAUUGGCAAAUUCAAAUUUUCAAAGAGCAUACUUAUAGAACUGCUUUUAAUGUUCCUUUUGGGAAAUAUAAAUGGAAUGUCAUGCCUUUUGGUUUAAAAAAUACCCCAUCAAAAUUUCAGAAAAUUAUGAAUGAUAUAUUUAAUCCUUAUAUGGAUUUCAUCAUCGUUUAUAUUGAUGACAUUCUUGUGUUUUCUAAAAUAUUUGAAUUACAUAUCAAGCAUCUUGAUAUUUUUAAGAAAAUUGUGAUAUAGAAUGGUUUGGUGAUAUCUAAACCAAAAAUGAGUCUAUUUCAAACAAAUGAUAGAUUCUUAGGACAUAAUAUUUGUCAAGGGAAGAUUACUCUUAUCCAAAGAUCCAUUGAUUUUGCUUCUAAAAUUCCUGAUGUUAUAACUGACUGGACUCAAUUGUAGAGAUUUUUGGGAAGCCUGAAUUAUAUUUCCCCCUUUUAUUAGAAUUUAUCUCGCGAUUUAGCCCCAUUAUACGAUAGGCUAAAAAAAUAUUAUAAAGGCUCUUGGACCGAUAAUCUCACCAAUCUUGUUAAACAUAUUAAACAACGUGUUGAAUCUUUACCCUGUUUAACUUUAGCCAAUCCUACUUGGCAAAAAAUUAUAGAGAUUGAUGCGUCGAAUAUUAGUUAUGGAGGAAUACUGAAACAAGUUAAUCCCCAUGAUAAAACUAAAUGCUUAAUAUGAUUUCAUUCAGGUAAAUGGACUGAUAGUCAUAAAAAAUAUGUUGUUGUAGCUCAUGAAAUGCUAACCAUUGUUAAAUGUAUUCUGAAAUUUCAAGAUGAUCUUUAUAAUCAAAAGUUUUUAAUAAAAACUGAUGCUCAAUCUGUAAAAUAUAUGUUUGAUUAAGAUUUUAAACAUGAUGUUUCAAAAUUAAUAUUUGCAAGGUGGUAAGCUCAAUUAGCCCUUUUUGAUUUUGAAAUUCAAUAUAAAAAAGGAAUUGAUAAUUCUCUCCCUGAUUUCUUAUCUAGGGAAUAUCUAAAUUAAAAAUAAAUUUUUAUACAUCUUUUCUUCCUAAAAAAACUUUGAUCACCAUUUUAAAGGUGAUUCCAUUAUACAAAGACAUUCAAAACCUCAUAAUUGAUAAAAUCAUCCAUGAUAUGAUUAAAGAAGAAUUUUUUGUCUUCAAUUAUGAAGAAAUUAGAGAUAUUGAUUGGUAUGAUUAGGUAAUUUCUGAUUAAUUAUCCUCUUUUCAGUAUGGCUACUGACCCACCAUGGCAUAUAGCCAUAGGAAAAGGACAAGGUAGAUCAGGAGGAAGAUCAGCCUCCGGAGGAAAGGAAAGAUCAUCCCCAAUAAUCAGAUCAUAUUCAGGAUCAUCAUACGGAUCCUCGUCCAAUUCCUCAGUUAUACAAAUGGGAAAUAGGAGUUUUAUAAACUCCAAAGUACCGCAAACAGGCGAAUCUUCAUCAUCACAGUCGAUCCAUCUGGAUGAUAUUCCAGAAGACAGCCCAUUAUACGAGCAAUUACAAGCCUAUCUGGCAGCACAAAAGAGUGAUACGUUUGCUUCGAUUGCGAAGGAAAAGCACAAUGAUGAUAUCAAGUCCUAUGAACAAAUUAAAAAUAAAGAAAUGAUAUUUUCUAUCGAAAACUCUGAGAUUCAGAGGCAAAAUAGACCGUGGGAUAUACUCCACAAAUAUUUGAUAAAUAAUUUAUAUUUUUCGGGUAAGUCAUACAAAAGCCACACUUAUUAUGAAACAAUUCUCAUUACCACAGAGAGUGCAGAAUUUGAACAUUUCUCUGGGUACAAUAGUGAAGAUAACAUUUAUAACUUCUCUAAAAUUGUUAUCAAACGGACCAUAUCAAUAGAAGAUUGGGGAGUGACCUCAAUGACUGAGAAACAGAUAUUGCUUAAAAGUUCCAAGAUCAAUUUCACUUAUUGGGACUACACUGAAACUUUCUCUAAAGCUCUUUAUUAUAAUAACGACAGACAUAAGCAUACUUGGUUUAUAAAAAUAUACACAAAGAUAUUUGCAGAACCUAUCCCUAACUAGUUUAUAGAUUGGUGGUCUUAUCAUGGUCCGACCAUCCAGAUCCUGAUCCAUUCCUCAAGUUAUACAAAGAAUAGAUCAAAGUAUCCCGCAUCUGAAUGAAUUAUAUCAUGCAGAUCAUAUCUGUAAUUUAGAUAAAAUUGACCAAAUGUACUUCUUUAUUGGAUUUUCUAUUUCCUGGAUUCAUAAAUGGACUCCAGAACUAGGAUUCACUAAAGAACAAAUCCCUAGUUUAUAUAGGGUAUUUUAUAAUAAUUUGUGGGAUAAAAUGAUGUGCAAUGAUCCCAAAAUAAAAAUUUUGUAUGGACAAGAACUCCUGGAUACUAUUAGAAAGACGAUUCAGGAAUAUUCUAUAGCCCCCCAAACAGAUAUUAUCGUGGAUAAAUCAUUAAAGCAUAUUGCUAGAAGAAUCUCUGUCCAUGACGGAGAUAAGAUCGAGAUGAUUGAAAAAUAUUUAGAAAAAGUUUGAAGAAAUCUGAUGAAAUCAGUUGAUAAUCAUGAUAAGUCAGAUACUUUCAUGAAGAGUAUAACCAGCGAUAAUAUCGCCAUGAAAAAGUUCAGGAUUCUCAGCCUGUUUCUUCAGAUAAACCACUAUCUGAUGAAGCCAUUACAAGAAUUGAAGAAUUUCUAAGAAAAUUAAAAGGAAAAAAUAAAGUGUAAUACACACAGUAUAUUUACUAUGCAUGGGACCCAGAUGUGAGACCCUUAGUACUGUUCUUACACAGUAGAUCCAUUGUACAUAGGACCCAUAUGUGGGACCAAUAAUACUAUUUGUAGAUACAUUUUUUCCUAUAAAUAGAUGCCUCCAUUUGUUAGGGAAGGCAGAAAUUUUCAUCUUUUUAUCUUCUCUUUUUUAUUUCUCUCUCUAGCUUAGAGUGCUCUCUCUUCUCUCUUGUAAAAUACUCUAAAGUGUGGAAUAAAAGCUUGUCGUUAUUACUAUUCAGGCCUUGCAUCCGACUAUUAAAGGUAUUUUAUUUUAUUUGUAAUUAUUUACUCUCUCUCUUUCUUUUUCCAGCCGUGACUAUGUCCGGCUAGAUAAUUUUCAUAUCUAUGCUAGAGAUCUAAUUUCUUUUGUAUAAUAACCAUGAAAGAUCCAGUCUCUAUCAAAAUAUAAAAGAAUUUUUCUAUAGUUUCUUGGCUUGGUUUCGAGAUGGUGGUACAGUCGAAGUUAGUACUACUUUUGUUGACUUUGUCUUAGUGACUACGUCUAGCAAGCCAUGACUUUUAAGCCCGUUAAAGAUGAGAAAAGAGGUGCCUUUUUUCACGGUUAGAAUCGCUAGACACAUGGGCUCAACUAAAGUAUGUAUUAACUUCUGACAGGCCCCUUGAGUAGUAGCUAUAGCAUUAAAGAUUGACUCUCUUUUCCGUUUAGUCAAAUAAUUGUCCCACCAGCCACGAAGUUGGCCAGUCAAACCAGCAACUAUUAUUUUACAAAUAAAUUUAUCUGUUCUAUUAUUUACAUUACCAGUGGCUUUGCACACCAUUGAAUAUAUCAUCAUCCGGUGUAUGAGUAUCGUUAAUUAUCUCUCAGUUAAGCCAUAAAAAUUCUAUUCAUAAAUAUCAUCUCCGCUAUAAGACGUAUUAGUCUGAUUCCAAUCCCUUUCCUCUAUCAGAACAUCUUGAGGAGUGAGUCGUAGAUAGUAAUAAGUUUGCAUGCGGGGUGAAUUGGCAUAUCUGUGAUUCUUACCCGAUUGUUUUCUAAUUAUUGCCCGAAGCUUAUUAAGCUCUAAUUUAAUCUGAUUUUUCAAAUCAGGAGUGGUGUCUAAGCUAUCAGCAAAGGCAUUCGACAAAUCAAUGGGUCUAAUAUUUAAACCAGAAAGUUUUUUAUCAAGAAAUUGUUCUAAAUCAUGCAAAGGUAAUUCAAGUUGAAAUCCCUCAAUAUCAGGGGGUCUUUGGAUAUCGAUUUUAGUUGUCAACUCUCCUGUAUCGAAAGAAGAAGCAUUACCAGUAGAGUUUGAACUAAUACUCAGUUUUUUUUAUCAAAUCAAUUAAUUCAUCGAGUUUCUUAUCAAGAGAGGAAAUAUGUUCUCCUAAGACUUUCACAUAUAAGCUCAAAUAAUUAUUUUGAGAAAUCAACUUAUUAAUUUCUGCAACAGUUACCUUAGCAACUUCAUUAUCAAUAAAUUUUUGAAAUGCAGAAAAUGUAAUCCCCGUAUUAUUAGGCAAAAUAAAAGGAGCUUGAGGAGGGUAAACAGUUUUAACAAUGUUACCACUAUUAUCCUGAUAUGAUCUUUCAAGCACCUUAACAUAUAAUGGCAAUUAUGCGGUUAUAAACCUUGGUACAAAACAUAUAAUUUGAUUAUGUAAUGCAUAUGUUCCAUAAAAUUCUUGAAAAAUAUUAUUCAUCUCAUCAGGACUAUAAGCCUCAAAAAACCAAGUUCGAAACUGGUUUCAUUUUUUAUUAAAAAUUCCUUUUUAAUAUAAUUCCUUGCCUGGGAGCCAGGACUAAAAUUAAUUUGGUAUGAAAUCAUUAAAUAUCACUCAGAUCAAAGUUCAUUUUCGAAGCAGUAGUAAUAUCUCUAUCAGAAAUAUUGUCAUUAUCUUGAACAAUAUUUGUUCAAAGAUUGACUUUAACUUUCUCUACAUAUCUUGUAGAAGCUGAGUCAAUUGUGUGCAACGAAGAUGCACGAUUUCUAGCUGGACCAUAUGAUGGUUCUACAGGAGAAAUAUGAUGCAUAACAGGUAAUAAUUUAGGAGUGGAAAAUGAAUUUUUGUUAUAAAUAGUAGAUCUUUCAUCGAAUUGAAUACAAAUCCUACCAUCCGGAUUUUGAGUUACAUGUGAUAAUUCAUUAUUAGUUAAAUCAUCAGUGACUUAAUUCGGAGAUAUAACUGAACUUAAGGUCCAAGUAGUGGGAAAAUCAAUCUUAUCCCAUUUAAUAGGUCUCCUUGUGGUGACUUUAGACCUUGCAAAGUUAGUCGCGACUAAUAUAGUACGAUCCGAUGUAUCAUAUAACCUACAUUGAGGAUUUAAAGCAGUUAAUAAUCUAUAAUAAAUUCUCUAGGACAGACAAAUAAGUUCAGAUCCAGGCGCAUAAUUAUAAUCGACAUUUUUAUAUUUAAUGUCAAAGCAUCAAGAAUAUUUGCAUCAGUCAAAGAUAAUUAUAAAUUUGGCUAAGUAUUAAAAUAAACUAGACCAUAGGCCACAGUGGAUUCAAUCGAACUCAUUAAAGACCGUCUGAAAUUCAGAUUUCUAGCAUAUCUAAGGGCUGCUAGAAAUAUUUUUGGUAACCCUUUAAGAGUUAAAGGUUUAAAAUCAAUUUGAACCAUUCCAAUAUGCAUGAACUUAUAAUGAUUUUAAUAUAAAUCAAUAUCACCUUUAUUUAAUAAAUGAAUCGUCUGUUCUGAUGAAUUUAAUGCCAAAAACUGUUCAGUCGUCUUUAUAAUCUAUUUAGAAAGAACUUUAUCAAACCUACCAUAAUCAUAAAUGAUUUUAAUAUCAACUUUUGGAAUAAUCCACUUGUUUAACAAGUCAAGAUUUUGAGGUAUAUCUACCUCUUCAAGUCGAGUACUCUUAGUACUCACAUCUCUUAUUUCCAUGACGAGGAAAAUUCAUAUCUAUGUUGAAUACUUCAGAUCUAUUACACAAUUACCAUGAAAGGUCCUAGGCUUUGAUACCAGCCUACAGGAUCUGAGGGCUGGCGGUAAUCCGCGCAGCCAUCCAGACCUAUAAGUUAAUACACUAUUAAACGAACCGAAAUAUAUAAGAAUUUCAUAUAGCGUAUUGACUAUAUGGAAGAUCAAAUCUUUUUACGAAUUCUCUCUUUGAAUAUACCACCAUCAAACUUUCUUCUUCAUCUUGGUGAACUUGUGUAUGGCUCUCACGACACAAGAAGAAAUUUUGAAUAAUAUGUCUAUGAUCUUCAUUAUUAUAGUCAUAUUCUCAAAUUACAUUUUCAGUGUCCCUUCAUUUGAUUAUUGAACACAUGAUUGAUGAAACAAAGGGAAAAAAAUUAAAAAUAGAAAAAAGAUAUAUACUAAUAAAAAAAAAGAAGGAGAAAUGAAAAUGAACAUCCAACAACUCUAUAGAUUAUUGUUAUUUAUAGAUUGAUCAAGCCACAAGAAUAGGAUGAAAGAAGUUUAAAAGACAUGUUAUUAAGUAGAGAAUACAAGUAGAUAUUGAUUUUUUAUAACUCAUGAGAUAUAAUUAGGUAUAGUAAAUAUGAUAUAAUUUUUAAAUUAAUAAAUAACUUAAUUAAUAAAAAAUAAAGUGAAAUUUUUAAAAAAAGAGUUAAUAGAUAAAUAUGAAUGGAGGUCAUAGAGAAGUGUCACGUCACCUUAUCUAUGACUCUCCUUUAUAUAUGUGUGUGUGUGUGUGUGUGUGUGUAUAUACUAGUUUAGGUGUACGCUCGUUGCGCGUAUACCUCACCUUAAAUAGGAUUGGUUAGACAACAACUAAAGUCCAAUUAGAACUCUAAGUGUGAUAAUUAACUACUUCUAAUAUGUAAUUAUAUAUAAAAAUUAUUUUUAACUAAAAAAUUAAUAAUUUAUUACUCUUAAUUUUCUAUAUUGUUUUAGAAUUAACAAUUUUUUCUUAGUUUUCUUUUCCUUUCUUUCUACAUUUUCUUUCCUUUAUUUUUUAUUUUAUUUGUUUUUCUUUCUUUCUUUUAUUUGUUUGUUAAAAAACAUUUUUUAUACAAAUUAAUUGAUAAAUUAAAUAUAUAUAAAACCAACAUGGUUUGUGGUGCAGUAGUGGGACUUCUCCACCCUUAACCAGAAGUCUCGGGUUUGAGCUUAGGAUAUGAAAAAUUUUUUGUUGGGAGUGCUACCCUCAUAAUGGGCCAUGCAACGCGCGAUCCGGAUUAGUCGGGGCUUCAAUGCAGGCACCGAACACUGUUUGAGAAAUUGAAAAAAAAAACUUAAAUAUAUAAAGAAAUUACAAGUAGACCAAUAAGAUCGGGACUGCAAACUUGCUAACAAAUUAACUAAAAAAAAGGCUAUAUCAGGCUUUGUAGUAUUUGCAAGAUACAUUAGUGCAUCAAUUGCACUAAGAUAUGGUACUUUAUAACCAAGGAGUUCCUCAUUCUUUUCUUGAGGUUGGAAUGGAUCCUUAUUCAAUUUUUGCAUGUUUCUCAUUUAAGCAAAUACUCUAUUGCUUUUGAAAACUCUCCAAGAGUUUCAAUGAUACUCAAAUCAUCAAAUUAUAUCUUAUGAUGAUAAUAAAAAGCUUUCCAGAAACUUUAUAUGCUUCAGGCAUUUUGAAUCCUUUAGGGAUUUUCAUAUGGAUGUUUGUCAAGUAACAAUAUCCAACAUGUCGAGUGUGACAUCUUCAAGUAUCUGGACUGCAAAUCAAAUAAGUUUUACGCUUACCAAAAUGCAUCCUUUCAGGUCACUUGAUAAAUAUUUCUACGUCAGCAUGCUUAAAUUAACGUAUAAUUUAGAUCCUCAUAAUCUUUUAUAAUAUUGCAUCAAUAUUAUAUCAAAGAUAUCGUCGACGAUUUCUUAUUUUAUAUCGGUUCACAAUGCGACAUAACAUUUUGAGAUCUCAUUACUUCAUUAUUUUCAGGUACCUAAAUCUCUUACAAGGUUUCAUAAAGUGUUAUGUCGUAGACUCUUCAAGAGCACAUUACCUUCUUAUCAUGAUUAUUUGUUCCUUAUCCUUUUCAAGGAUUAUUUCAUUUGGAACCGAUUGGUCUAUCACGCUUCAACGAUGCAUAGACUCUAUCCUUUAAGAAUACAAAAUAGGAGCACUUGCAGCUAAAUAUGAUAUGCUUUCGGCAUUUGACUUAAAUUAUCUUUUGAAUGAGGAUCUGAUGAUAAUUCCUAACAUAUUUUAUAGUUGCUUAUAAUCUCCCCCUUAUGUAAGGAAAACUAACAUACAUCAUCCAUCUUCUUUGAGGAAUCCAUCUUUGUGCAUCAUGGUAUAUUUAUUAAUCGUAUACCGCACAUCAAAAUUAUUAGAUGGAAUAGUUGGUUCCUGAUCUUGAACCAAUUGAGAGGGAAGAAAUAAUCAUAAUAUAUUAGUCUAAUGCAUACAAGUGUUAUUGUAUGUAAUAUAUCAUAUUUCAUAUCAAUACAUGAAACUUUGUUCUCAUUAGUAAUGAUUCAACUAUUUAUGGAAGACAUUCAAUGCUAAACCAUCAUCAUCAAGAUGAAUUAUCUUGAUUACACAAUCUAAAAAUUAUUCUCGAUUUACAUUGAACAAGUAACUUUAUGAAUGUCAAACGUAGGUUAACCAUGAAUGUACAUGUGAUCAUCUUAUUGAUGCAUCUUUCCAACAUAUCACAUGAUAUAUGAACGGGCCCUCAUUCAACUUUUAUUCUUUUCAGAUUUUGAGGGAUCCAAUCCCAAAAUUAGUUGGUCCAACCAACUUAUCAUGAGAACAAGCAAUAUUAAAGUUCAUGAAGAAUUAGAAAAUUCUUCAAUAUAUGUUCAAUAAUCAAUAUGCACAUCUUCGGGAUAUCGCAAUCGUUCAUGUUAACUUAUGAACUUUUAAUCUAGUAAACUCCAAGUUUACCAUGAUAUGUGUUUUUGCUUUAGUAAAUUUCAGAUUUACUAUUAUAUGAAUAAAUUUCAGAUUUACUACUUCAGAAGUAGAUUUCAAAAUUACUCAACCUCUUUCGGAGGUGAGUUGUGAUACAAUCACAAUCAAGUGCACGUUUGUAUUAAUAAGUUUCUCAUUCCCCAGGAAUUGAAUAUAAUCGUGCCUUAAGCCUAUCAAAUUAUGAUAGCUUAUAACCCCUUUCAAGAUUUUGUUACUUCAGAAGCAAAUCGAGGCAUAUAUAUGAUGUAGAGAAUUCUUCUCUAGUAUAUCUUAUAAUCAUAUAAGCGUGUGAAAAUAUCGUCACUUUUGAUGAUCAUUAUCAUAUUGUCCCUCCACGCGUAUAUUAAUGCAUUUAAUCACUUGUCUUCUUUAGACAUAUUAUGCACUGCUACUAAAUACACCUCAAGAAUGAAAAUAAGUUGUCAUAUUUUAUACUUAUCAUAUAUUGCUACCACAUUCACUUCAUGGAAUAGAGCAUAUUUAAUGGGUCAAAUUUUAUGACUUUUCAUUAAACACCCAUUAUUUUGCCUUAGCCAUUAUAAUAUCAUCAAUAUGGUGUAUUGAGAUUCAAACUCAACAUCUUAUCUAUAUAAAGGCAUCUUAGGCAUGAAUCGAUGGGACUUGAAACUAACAUAUUACCAUCUUUUUUAAUUAUAUUAUUUUUGAGGAAUAAAUUUAAAAUAUAAAUGGUUCCAAACCAAUUAUUUUUCCUCAAAUACAAUAAUAAUUAUAUAAUAGUAGAAAAAGAAAGAUAACAUAAAGAAUUACUAACCUUGAAAUCCUUCAGAUUUAUAAUAUCACCUUGUUUGGCAGAGUCUCGUGCUAAUAAAGUGUUAUAAAACAAGAAAGAAUAAAGAAGAAGAGUAGAGAGAAUAGAGAGAGUAAUUCUUAUUUCUCUUGAGGGAUGAGAGAUCAUAAGAUUGUAAAUACAAUGAACAAAACCCCCUAUUUAUAGGGAAAAUUUACUCCUAGUCUGAGUAAAAGACGGAUGUUUCAAAUCCUAAUAGAUAUCAAAAUAGAUCUUGAUAGACAUUCACUAUAAUGUAAAUACAUUUAUAACAAAUCUGUUAAUUAAAAAAUUCAAAUAAUUAUGAGUUCCUACUUUAAGAUAAUGAAAAUCUUUUUUUUUAAAAGGAUAAUGUAUUCAAAUUCAAAUAAUUAAUCUUUUAAUUCAAAACUUCCAUUACUACAUUUUUUAACUUUGUCCUAAACACUGUCAUGUGACUAUUUUAAUAUGUUGUCACUUGGAAUCUUAUAUUGUUUUAAUUUUGAUUGUAUAUAUAUAUACCAGUAUACGUACCCGUGCGAUGCACGAAUAAUAUUAACAUAUUAUUCUAGUUACUUUAUAUUGAAGUGUAUCGUUCGAGCAUGUUAAAUCAUAUAUACUUUUAAAAAAUAGCUAUCAUAUUAUUUCUCAAAAAAUUAUAAAAAAAUAAAAACUAAAAUAUCCACCCUGACCUGUACAUCCAUGUCCACACACCCCUCAAUUUAAAAAAACGAAAAAGGUUCAAAUAUGUCCCUCAACUUUGCAAAAAGGUUUAAAUAUACCCUCCGUUAUAAGUUUGGUCCAAAUAUACCCUCGCCGUUAAAGUUUAGGAGCAAAUAUACCCCUAAACUUUGCGAAAGGGUCCAAAUAUACCCUCCGUUAUAGGUUCGGUCCAAAUAUGCCCUCACUGUUAAAGUUUAGGAGCAAAUAUACCUCUUAACUUUGCGAAAAUGUCCAAAUAUACCCUCCAUUACAACCCAUAAUAAUAAUAAUAAUAAUAAUAAUAAUAAUAAUAAUAAUAAUAAUAAUAAAGUUCAAAUUUUACACAAAUAAAUUAGCUUAGACAUAUGAAUUACGAUUUGUUUCAAUUAAGAACUUAAAACAUGUUAAAGUGUUUUAUUAAACUCUUUCGAUUUAAAUUUUAGAAAAGUUUAUGUUCUCAAGAAGAGGCAGAAUGAUUUAUAUACGACUGAAAUUAUUUUUAUAUAUAUACAAUAAUAAUAAAGGUAAACUUUUACAUCAAUAAAUUCAGUUCAAACACGUGAAUUGCGAUUUAUUAAGUUCAACUUUACACAAAUAAAUUAGUUCAGACACAUGAAUUACGAUUUGUUUCAAUUAUUAAACUCUUUCGAUUUAAAUUUUAGAAAAGUUUAGGUUCUCAAGCAGAGGCAAAAUGAUUUAUUUACGGUUGAAAUUAUUUUUAUGUAUAUAUAAUAAUAAUAAAGUUUAACUUUUAUAUAAAUAAAUUGAGUUCAGACACGUGAAUUGCGACUUAUUUCAAUUGAGAACUUAAACAUGUCUCAAAGUGUUUUAUUAAACUCUUUCGAUUCAAAUUUAGAAAAGUUAUAUUCAUAUUAUCAAGUAGAGGCGGAACAAUUUAUAUAUGAUUGAAAUUAUUUUUUACGUAUAUAUAACAGACGUUGCUCCUUCGGUAAUUAAGUUCAUGUAUUUAGAUUGUAACGGAGGGUAUAUUUGAACAUUUUCGCAAAGUUAAGGGGUAUAUUUGCUCCUAAACUUUAACAACGAGGGCAUAUUUGGACCAAAUUUGUAACGGAGGGCAUAUUUAAACCCUUUCGCAAAGUUUAGGGGUAUAUUCGCUCCUAAACUUUAAUGGCGAGGGUAUAUUUGGACCAAACUAGUAACAGAGGAUAUAUUUGAACCUUUUUACAAAGUUAAGGGGCAUAUUUGACCCUUUUCCCUUAAAAAAAAAAUAAAAGUAAAUUCAACCCCCUCCCACACGACAUCCAAUCCCCCCCUCCCCCUCCAAUUUUAUAUCUCUAAUGAAAUCUAUAAGAAAAAAUAAUUUAAUGUUAGAUUGUUAAUAUUUUCUCCUCCCCCACCUCUAACCAAAUUUAUAUUGGUAAAACUAAUCAUAUAAUUGCAAAAAAUAACUUUAAAGUUUUAUAUUUUUCUUUAUUAUUAUUUAAAUAUAAUUUAAAUACAGAACAAUUCGUGAAUGUGAUAUUAACUACCAAAACAAUUCCAAUUGUAUACGAUUGACUAAAUAAAGUAAAAAUAUGAUAUAGAACAACACUAAAAUGAAGAUCAAUAAUAUCAAACACAAUAUUUAGAAAAACUUAAGUCGGGUCAAUUAUAUCAAUAAAAUUUCUACUUUCACAUUUAUCUAUUCUUCUCUUUUCUUAAUUUUUCUUUAUUUCUUAUACAAAUUAACAAUAAUAAUAAAAUAAAAUUAUCACAAAAAAAAAAGAUAAGAACAUCAAAUUCAAGCUUGGAUAUAGUAUGAAAAAUUAACCUACUAAACGGUCAUCAUCUGCAUGUAACAGUAAUAAAGUUUAAUAAAAAAGAAUUUAUUUGAUUGAAGAAUAUGAAGAAUAUAACGAUCAAUAACAAAAACUUUUAUGGAAAUGCCUGAUGUUUGAGAAUGAUGCACGAUCAAAGGCAAAAUUUACUAUGUGGUUUCACUUUCAUGGAAAUUUACUAACUGUGGACAGACUUCUUAGAUGGGGUCUUAAACUUUCCCCUACCUGUGUUCUAUGUCUGAUGCAAGAUGAAACUAGAGAUCAUCUUUUCCUUUCUUGUGCUUUUGCACAAACCCUCUGGACUCGGAUGCUUCACUGGAUACAUAAAGAUGCUAUCACUGCAAGCAUAUGGGAGGACUAUACAAUGUGGGCUAUAAAGAAUGCUAAAAGUAGAUCGCAAAGAGUAAGAAUCUUCAAACUUGUAUUUGCUGAAUGUGUACACACUCUCUGGAUUGAAGGAAAUCAAAGAAUAUUUGAGGAAAAACAGAGGACAUGUGACAGCCUUGCAAAAGUUUUAGCUUACACCUGCAUUACCAGAGCUAAACCAACAAUCAGUACUCUUCUGCAUAAUUAUCGUUUCUAGCUAGCUUGACUAUUACCUCGAGUGGUCUUUUGUUCCCUUCUAGUUGAUUGAUUAGGAUCCUUGUCUUUCCCUUCUGUGAGUAUAGCCAGUUGAGUUUGUUAAGUUGUGCUUUGAUAUGUAAUGGUUACUUUGGUGAUUAAUAAAAUCAUGUUAGUUACCAAAAAAAAAAAAAAAAAAACUGGAGAAGGAACUUAAAAUUAUACAUCACCAUAGGAGUAUAAAUAACAGAAGUUAAAAAGAUAAAAUUUUAUUUCAAUUCAACUUUUAUUAAAAUUGAAAUUCAAUAGACUAAACAUUACUCACUUGAAUUUGGAGAUUGUAGAAAAAAAUAACAUGCAAUACGAUCAUCACUUAUCUACAUAUAAAAAAUAAAAAUAUUAAAACUAAAAACAAAACAUAGAACAAAGAAUAUGAAUAAUGUAGUAAAUAAGUUAAUUAUCAAUAGCGGAAGAAGAGAAGAAGAUUGACAUUGACACACACACAUAUAUAUAAGAGAUGUUAAGAGGAUAAAACUUCAUUCCAACUCAAAUUUCUUUUAAAUUUAAAUUCAAAUAUCACAUCAAUUAGUUAUAAAAGGAUCAGGUUGGUGAGAAGUUCUUGGAACAUAAGUAUUUAAUUUAAUUUUAUUUAAAAAAAAAAGAAAUUGUAAAUUACUUUUGAACGUAAAUAGUGCAUUCAAUUUGUAGAAUUGUGUUUUUAAAAACUUAAAACUUUUCCAUCUUUUUAAAUAUUUUAUUUAUUUAUUCCUAUUUCUAAAACUAUAUAUAUAUAUAUAUAUAUAUAUUUAGAUAUACACGUCUCGCGCGUGUAUCUCAAUUUAGUGAGUUUAAUUUUAAAAAAUCAUUCAAAAUAUAAAAAGCACGACGGUCUUUCAAAAUAUUUAUUGCAUUUUUUGUUUGUUAUUAAGCUAAUGAUUUUUUGUCUUUUUAAAAGGAUAAUACAUUUUCAAAUUCUAAUAUUUAAUAGUCUUUAUUUUAUUAUAACAUUAUUAAGUAUUGAUCUAAAAACUUUCACGUGACUUUUUAAUAUCUUGUCACGUAGCUUCUUGCCUUACUUUUAGUUUUACUUUUAUAUAUAUACAAAUAGAUUCUUUUAAAUUGAAAUUUAAAUAGCAUGUCAAUUUGCUAUCAAAAGAAUAGGUUGUAACUCUUUCUUAUCUAUACUUUUUUUAAAAAUAAUAAAUAUUUAUUUUAUAAUUCAUAUUUGAAUGAGAUAAAAUAUUUGAAACUACUAUUUAAAUUUUAGCUUAAUUAUACACCUAUAAAAGUAAGAAAUUCUUAGAACAUAAGUAAUUCAUUUUUUUCUAAAGAAAAAACAUAAUUCUGUAAAUUACUUUUGAAUACAAAUAAUCUCUUUUAAUUCGUUAUACUGCAUUUUUCAAAAUUAUCGAUGCUCCCGAAUUUGAAUCAACCACAAUCAAUUUUGUUUGAAUGGAUAUAUAUUUAAAGUACAAUUUAUCUAAUAUGAAAUUUAAGAUACUUUUGUUAUUUUAUCCACUCCACCAGACAAUUUAAUAUUCAUAAGAAAUAUUAUAUAGAUUGUUUUAAUUACUAUCAUUAUUGCUAUUAUCAUAUUAUUAUUAUUGCUAUUUAAACUAUCGUUAUUACUUUUGUUGUUGUUAAUAAUAUGUUGUUGCUCCUACUACGAAUACUAAUGUUGCUAUUAAUUCUUCUACUUCUACUAUUAUUAUUACUGCGUUUUCUUUUAAAAAUUAAAAAUACUACAACUUGUGGACUACUAUUACUAUUAUUAUUUAUAUCAAAUUUGUUUUAUCUUAUUUAAUAUUUGAAUAUUAUUAUAACAUUGAAUGACAUAAGUUUAGGAAUAGUAAAAGUUCAAUAAUAAUAGCAGUCUCUCUCUUUCUCUCUUGGCGCAUGUUAGUGCGCAACUUGCGCCUCGCCGGAGAUGGGCAGAGGGCGACCGAGGAAAACGGUGAAACACACUCAUGAGUAGGAAAUCCUGUGUGGCAUUCAGGCGAGCUCGGACUAUGCUGGAAAGAGGUCGGCAACAACACCAGACACCCAAGUUAACUAAGUGACUACUCCAUAUGUCACACCGGUAGAUAUAAUUAACACAAAGAAGAAAGCUAUACGGAGGGUAACUGGCCUGCUUUGUCAAUUAGAAAGUUAGGGGCUAAAACCAUAACCACACCUGCAGCGCCGAUGCCCGGUAAUACUGAAUUGAGCCUUCAUUCUAUUUACAACGCACUGAGAAAAAUUAGUUUGCCGGAGAAGCAAUGGACAAAUUUGUUUGCUACUAAUCGAUUGGCCACAAGAGGUAUGAAUUUAACCUUCAUCCCACCUACUAUUAAAGAAGGGGAAAAUAGUUGAAAUAUUGGUUAAAGAUGUAGCGGGAGAGGAGGCCAAAUGGAAAUCUGCUAUUGUUAUAUAUGUGAUAGGCACGAAUCCAUCCAUUGGAGCCAUAGAAUGGUUUGUUUUAGCAUAAGGUCAAUUUUCAAUUAAACCAGUGGUUUUGGCUCAUACUAAUGGGUACUAUGUUGUAAGAUUUGCUAAUGAAGCUGAAAGAUAUUAAGUUUUGUGUUCAGGGCCUCAUUACCUACUCAGACGACCUGUGAUUAUUAAGCCUUGGCCACCAGAAUUUAAUUUCAAAGAGGAAAUCCUUACAACCCUUCCACUGUGGAUUAAGCUACCUAACUUCCGCUAAGUUUCUGGAAUGCAGUAGUCUUGAGAAAUAUCAGGAGUACUGUGGGCCAACCGUUGUAUGCAGAUAACUGCAUAACUCAUGUUAGUAGAAUUUCUUUUACUCAAAUUCUCGUGGAGGUGGAUGUUACAAGACUUCUGCCUAAAAGUGUUAAGAGUUCAGGAUCCUAAAGGGUACACAUUUGAACAAAUGAUCUGGUAUGACUGGAAGCCUAUUUACUGUGAAGAAUGCUUAUAAGUAGGUCAUUUUUUCCCUACUAAACCUACUAAUCCACCGUCGAUGCAAUUAACCAAAGGACAAGUCCAGCAACAGAAGAAAGAAUGAAAGCCUGUUGAGGAGGCAGCCAAAGUACCUGAUCUAGUGGAUAAACCUACAAAAGAAACUAUACUACCGAAGCAAAAAUCCCCAGUUGAAGCAAGUAUAAUAGGGAUGGGUGGCAAACUGUAACAGGUACAUCAGCAACUAAAAGAACAUAUCAAGAUGUUGGUGCAUCUAUUCCAAGUAAGGUAUAUAAUUCAUAUGAGAUAGGUCAAAGUAGUGGUGUGGAUGUAGAAGAUGUGAAAGAUUUAUUUCAACCCAAACCCCUCUUCCAAUUAUGUUAGUUACAUGGAAUGUGUGGGGCUUCACCAAGUGGUGAAGCAUAAAGAGAUGAAGGUGUUUUUGAGGAAGAAUAAAGUUCAUAUAAUGACAAUUAGUAAGCAUAGAGUCAAAAAUAAUAUAGCUAGCAGUAUCAUUAAUAAAGUCCUGCCCAGAUGGGAUUGGUAUACUAAUGCCACUACAACUGUGCAAAGCAGAUUAUGGGUUUUCUGGAAUCCUGAUGAAGUCAAGUUCUCAACUCUAGAAGGCUCAGCUCAACAUAUUCAUGGUGUAGUGCGUUAUCUGGGGAGUGGUAGGAAGUUUCAGUUUAGAGGGGUAUAUGGGCUUCACACCAUUGAAGCAAGGUCUGCUUUGUGGACUGCUCUGAGAAGGUUAGAAGUCCAAACUACUGAUACAUGGGUUUAUCAUGGGGAAUUUUAAUGCUAUCUUGUCCCAGGAAGAUAGAGAAAUAGGAAGCCAAGUCCAGGAACAUGAUAUCAGGGAUUUUCAAAAUUUUAUAGUAGAUUAUCAUAUUUCAGAGCUAACUGUAGUAGGUAGAUCCUUCACAUGGACAAAUGGUCAUACAGUAGAAUUGAUAAAGCUUUAGUUAAUGCUACAUGGUUGCUGACUAUGUUUGUUCAACAUGUCCAAGUUCUAGAUCCUUUGUUUUCUGAUCAUUCACCUUUGUGUUUUAACUUUAGAGGAAGCUCCUGAAACAAGAAAAAGACCUUUCAAAUUUUACAAUCACUUGGCUCAGCACUCUGAGUUCAGGAACAUAAUUAGAGAUAGUUGGGUAAUAGCAGAAGGGGGUCUGAAAGGCAUAUGGAAAAACUUGAAAAUUGUAGAUUUAUCAUUCAAAAACUAAUUGGCCUUGAAUUUAAUAGUGUUACUGCAAGAGUACAAAGAAUCAGAGCUGAGUUGCAGGACAAGCAGAGAUCUAUGAGACAAACACCUGUUGAUGAAAAUUUUAUCGCACAAGAGAAGGAUUUGAGACUGCAACUAAAUAAGUAGAGUCUAAUCGAAGAAAGUAUAGACAAACAAAAAUCUUGAGUUCAGUGGCUACAGUUAGGUGAUUCAAACACAACUUAUUUUUUUGCAAGAAUGAAAGGGAGGAGGGCACAGUAUGAACCUAACUUAUAAUAAUAAUAAUAAUAAUAAUAAUAUCCCACGUAGUGCUACUUCUUAUAAUAACUAUAUUAUUACUACUUCUACUACAUAUCCUACAUAGUACUACUAUUACUAACUAUUAUUAUUAUUUUAAUAAAACUUUUAUAUUUUAUUAAUUUGUAAAUAAAUUAUAUUUAAAUAUGUUUUAUAGCAUUUAUAUUUUCGAAGAGAUAAGUUUCAAAUAGUAAAAGUCUAUUAGUAGGGGUGUUCAUGGUUUGGUUUUUAACCAAAUCGAACCGCGAUUCAAACCAAACCGAUUAAAAAAAUCGAUAUUUGGUUAGAUUUGAUUUGGUUUGAUUUUGAAUUUUAAAAAAUCGAUACUAAUUUGGUUUGGUUUGAUUUUACUCUAAAAUAACUGACAAAAUAACCAAAUCGAACCGAUAUAUAUAUAUUAUAAUUAUUUAUGUAUUAUUCAUAAACACAAUAUAAAUAUUUGUUACACUUUAUAUUUUAAUCAUAAUUUAACUAUAGUCGUAACACAUUAAGUCAUUUUUUCA
rnacentral:lncRNA from 1 species